rnacentral:rRNA from 1 species
GAUGAACGCUGGCGGCGUGCCUAAUACAUGCAAGUCGAGCGAACGGACGAGAAGCUUGCUGCGCUGAUGUUAGCGGCGGACGGGUGAGUAACACGUGGAUAACCUACCUAUAAGACUUAGAUAACUUCGGGAAACCGGAGCUAAUACCGUAUAAUAUUUUGAACCGCAUGGUUCAAAAGUGAAAGACGGUCUUGCUGUCACUUAUAGAUGGAUCCGCGCUGCAUUAGCUAGUUGGUAAGGUAACGGCUUACCAAGGCAACGAUGCAUAGGCGACCUGAGAGGGUGAUCGGCCACACGGGAACUGGAACAGCGUCAAGAGUCCUAAGGGAGGCAGCAGUAGGGAAUCUUCGGCAAUGGGCGAAAGCCUGACGGAGCGACGCCGCGUGAGUGAUGAAGGUCUUCGGAGCGUAAAACUCUGUUAUUAGGGAAGAACAUAUGUGUAAGUAACUGUGCACAUAGUGACGGUACCUAAUCAGAAAGCCACGGCUAACUACGUG